AAUUUUAAAAAAUAAAAAUAAAAUUAUUUUAUGAGUUUUUAUUUGAAAAGUAACUAGUAUUAAAUUAAAAAAAUUUCAAAUUGUUUUUAAAAAUACUGACGGUGCCUUAAUUUCCUGCUUUCUACCUCUUUACCUCCCACACAAAACCACCGUGAACCUUCUCUCUCGCUCUCAGACAAACACAGAAUCAUCUCUUUAAAUUGAAAGUACAAAACUUAUUUCCCUUUACGUUACAUGCACUUAAAAUCUCCUUUCUUGAUUUUAACGACUCCAAAAUCUAGUCCUUAUUUUGUUGAUCUUUGGUUCUUCCGUCAAGAGGUGAGUUGUUUUGUGCAAAUACAAUGAAUUUCCCAAUAAUGUAAUACCAGUAAAGUGAAGCUUAGAAUGUCAUUCACCGAUGCACCGCUGCCAAUUCCACAUGUGCCCUAAAGAAAGACAGCAAGGCAAAACCAUUGGAUGGUAACUAUCUUGCCAUUCCAUGGAUAUCACACACAGAUGCUCUCCUUGCCUUUAAUUUCAUACUUAGAUGGGCUAUCUUCCGUGAGCAUGCAGAGGCGAUCUUCCAUGAUCUGAAUUUGUUGUCUGACGCACACUGCAUCCAUAAAUGGCCAAUAACCCUCAAUUCUCUGGAAUACAGCCUCUUCAGCCUCCUCUGGUUGGCCCAAUGGAUCCUCCUCGAAAUUUGUUUCCACCACCACCGAUGCCUGUUCAACCACAACAAUUCAUUCCUGUGAGUUCUCCACACUUUCAGCCUGUUGGCCGGGGUGUCACUGUGAUGAAUGCGGGAUUGCCUCCUCAACCCCCACAACCUCAAUUUCCUCAUCCAAUGCAGCAGUUACCAGCUAUACCUAACCAGCCAAGCCAUGGUCCUCCUCCACCACCACCACCACAGGCAAUUAUAUUGCCAAAUGCUCAGCCAAACAGGCAUGUCAUGUCUGGAUCUCCACUGCCUCCACAUAGUGUUCAAACUCCAAACAACUAUAUGCCUGGUUUAGGUGGCUUGGGAGUGCCUCUAUCUUCAUCGUAUACUUUUGCACCAUCUUCACAUGGUCAACCACCCGUAACCUUUAACGCUGUAUCUCAAUAUCAGCCUAUGCCUCAAAUGCAUGAACCAUCUAUUCCCUCUGGAGGACAGCCAGCAUUACCAUCCAUGAACCAGAACACUGCACUUGUUUUGCCUAUACAGCACAAUGGUGAACAGUCUUCAAUUACCGCUGCCAAUGUUCUGGCAACUGGUAUCCAACCUAGGCCAACUGAAGAAGCCUUGACAGAGUGGAAAGAGCAUACAUCUGCCAAUGGAAGGAGGUUUUAUUACAACAAGAGGACAAAGCAAUCUAGUUGGGAGAAGCCUUUCGAGUUAAUGACACCAAUUGAGAGGGCAGAUGCAUCAACUAACUGGAAGGAAUUCACAAGUCCUGAUGGACGAAAAUAUUACUACAACAAAGUUACCAAGCAGUCAAAAUGGGAAAUCCCAGAAGAAUUGAAGUUGGCCCGUGCACGAGUAGAAAAGCCAUCUAUCAUGGAAACACAAUCGGAAGUCUCUGCUAAUUCUCAUGCCCCUACUUCUGUUCUUCCAUCUAUGGGUAAGGCACCAUCUAGUGCCGAUGCUUUGUCUUCUACAGCUCAAGGGGCACCAUCAAGUCCAGUUCCUGUUAAACCUGUUGCUGUUGCUGGUAACUCGCAAUCUCAGUUAGCUUCUGAAUCAUCAGCCCUACGUGUUAUGUCCUCUUCCAUGACGACCAAUGCAGAUGAAGUUCAGACAACCGAGAGUCCUGUUGCUGGUGUUCCAAAAAAUGCUGAAAUCAAUGCUACAGCAGUUAACACAAUAACUGCACCAAUGAGCGACAGCUUUUCUGCUAAUGAUAAACCUAGUUCAGAAGAUGAUGCUCCUGCACAAGAUAAACAGGAAGCUGAAAAAGAUGUUGUCAUAGAUGAAAAGGUUAACAAUGUUACAUUGGAAGAGAAAUCAGUUAAUCAGGAUCCCUUACUUUAUGCUGAUAAGCUGGAGGCAAAAAAUGCAUUUAAAGCACUUUUGGAGUCUGCAAAUGUUGGGUCUGAGUGGACCUGGGACCAGGCCAUGAGAGUAAUAAUUAAUGAUAAAAGAUAUGGUGCAUUAAAAACACUUGGAGAGCGGAAGCAAGCAUUUAAUGAGUUCUUGGGUCAGAAGAGAAAACAGGAAGCUGAGGAAAGGAGGGUUAAACAGAAAAAAACACGGGAAGAAUUCAAGAAAAUGCUAGAAGGGUCCAAAGAGCUGACAGCAUCCAUGAGAUGGAGUAAAGUAGCGACUCUGUUUGAAAACGAUGAGCGGUUUAAAGCUGUUGAACGGGAAAGAGACCGUAGAGAUCUGAUUGAAACCUACUUGCAGGAACUUGAAGAAAAGGAACGAGUGAAGGCACAUGAGGAGCGCAAGAGGAACAUCAUGGAAUACAGGCAGUUUUUGGAAUCGUGCGAAUUUAUAAAGGCAAGCACCCAGUGGCGAAAAGUACAGGAUCGGUUAGAAGCUGAUGAAAGAUGUUCACGCCUUGAAAAAAUUGAUCGCUUAGAAAUUUUUCAGGAUUAUUUACAUGAUUUGUUGAAGGAAGAAGAGGAGCAAAGGAAGAUACAGAAGGAAGAACAAAGAAAGGCAGAGCGUAAAAAUCGUGACGAGUUCCGCAAGCUGCUUGAAGAACAUGUUGCUUCAGGCACUCUUACAGCCAAAACUAACUGGCGUGAUUAUCACCUAAAGGUUAAAGAUUUGCAUGCAUAUGUGGCUGUCACUUCAAAUGCCUCAGGCUCAACUCCAAAAGAUUUGUUUGAAGAUGUCUCUGAGGAGCUACAGAAACAAUAUCAUGAGGACAAAACUUGGAUAAAGAAUGUUGUAAAGUUGAAAAAGGUUCCUUUGGCAUCAAACUGGACACUUCAGGAUAUGAAGGUUGCUAUUAUUGAGGAUGUUAACUCUCCGCCUAUAUCAGAUGUGAACCUAAAGAUGGUAUUUGAUGAGUUGCUGGAAAGAGCAAGGGAAAAGGAGGAGAAAGAAGCCAAGAAGCGUAAACGUCUUGCGGAUGAUUUUCUCAAUCUACUACAGUCUAUCAAGGAUAUAACUGCAUCUUCAAAGUGGGAGAGCUUCAAGGAAAUCUUCGAAGGAAGCCAAGAGUACAGUUCCAUUGGUGAAGAAGCCUUCUGCAGGGAGAUGUUUGAGGAAUAUAUAUCCCAACUGAAAGAACAGGAGAAGGAGAAUGAGCGGAAACGAAAGGAGGAAAAGGCAAAAAAGGAAAAAGAAAGAGAGGAAAGAGAUUGGAGGAAAGCUAAGCAUAGAAGCGAAAAGGAGAGGGGACAUGAAAGAGACAAGGAGCACACAAGGAAGGAAGAAGCUGAUGUUGAAAUCUCUGAAACAACAGAAACUCAAGUUUGUAGUGAUAAGAAAAGAUCUGGGAGUGACAAUAGCAGCAGGAAACAGAGGAAGAGGCAUCAAAAUGCUGUGGAUGAUUUGGAUGAAAGUGAGAAGGAUCGGUCCAAGAGUUCCCAUAGACAUGGCAGCAAUGACCACAAAAAAUCAAGAAGGCAUGGUUCCACCCCUGAGUCAGACAGUGAAAGCAGGCACAAGAGACACAAGAGAGACCACCGUAAUGGUUCUCGUAGGGCUGGUGAUAACGAGGAUCUCGAAGAUGGGGAAUUUGGGGAAUUUGGUGAGGAUAGGGAAACUCGGUAGUCCAAUCACUUUUGACUUGUUAGAUUACUGUUCCUGUCUUUGGUUGGAUGAGAGGCUGGUUUACUAGUCUCUGUUUAUUUGUGCGGCCUCGUCAAAUACACAUUGGCCAACUUGUUCCAAUAACUUUAUGAUGCCAGUGGUUGCUGCGGUGAACUGGUGCUGAGAAAAAGCAGGCCCAACAACCUCCUGUAACUCUGCGAAACCAGCAAGGCUAUGCUUUUCAAUCAAUGAUUUAACUAGUAAGUCGCACAAGAAAGCUGAGAGCAUGUUGUCUUCCUCAGCAUUUCUACUCAAAACGGUGCUUGAAGCUGAUGCAGCUUUUCCUUCUUGUUUUGGCAGGAAGCGACACACUGUUCAUUGUAAGGAUGGGUUACUACUAAUCUAAAAUUAUAAAUCAAGAAAGUUGCCAUGUUAUUCAUAAAUGAAAUAAACGAUUCUUUGUA